GACGAACGCUGGCGGCGUGCUUAACACAUGCAAGUCGAACGGAAAGGCCCUGCUUUUGUGGGGUGCUCGAGUGGCGAACGGGUGAGUAACACGUGAGUAACCUGCCCUUGACUUUGGGAUAACUUCAGGAAACUGGGGCUAAUACCGGAUAGGAGCUCCUGCUGCAUGGUGGGGGUUGGAAAGUUUCGGCGGUUGGGGAUGGACUCGCGGCUUAUCAGCUUGUUGGUGGGGUAGUGGCUUACCAAGGCUUUGACGGGUAGCCGGCCUGAGAGGGUGACCGGCCACAUUGGGACUGAGAUGCGGCCCAGACUCCUACGGGAGGCAGCAGUGGGGAAUAUUGCACAAUGGGCGGAAGCCUGAUGCAGCAACGCCGCGUGCGGGAUGACGGCCUUCGGGUUGUAAACCGCUUUCGCCUGUGACGAAGCGCGAGUGACGGUAAUGGGUAAAGAAGCACCGGCUAACUACGUG
rnacentral:rRNA from 1 species